GAGUUUGAUCCUGGCUCAGAUUGAACGCUGGCGGCAGGCCUAACACAUGCAAGUCGAGCGGAUGAAGGGAGCUUGCUCCUGGAUUCAGCGGCGGACGGGUGAGUAAUGCCUAGGAAUCUGCCUGGUAGUGGGGGAUAACGUUCCGAAAGGAACGCUAAUACCGCAUACGUCCUACGGGAGAAAGCAGGGGACCUUCGGGCCUUGCGCUAUCAGAUGAGCCUAGGUCGGAUUAGCUAGUUGGUGAGGUAAUGGCUCACCAAGGCGACGAUCCGUAACUGGUCUGAGAGGAUGAUCAGUCACACUGGAACUGAGACACGGUCCAGACUCCUACGGGAGGCAGCAGUGGGGAAUAUUGGACAAUGGGCGAAAGCCUGAUCCAGCCAUGCCGCGUGUGUGAAGAAGGUCUUCGGAUUGUAAAGCACUUUAAGUUGGGAGGAAGGGCUGUAGGCUAAUAUCCUGCGGUUUUGACGU
rnacentral:rRNA from 1 species